GACGAACGCUGGCGGCGUGCCUAACACAUGCAAGUCGAGCGGAGUCGAUCGACGGAAGCCUUCGGGCGGAAGAUGGUUGACUUAGCGGCGGAUGGGUGAGUAACGCGUGGGCAACCUGCCUCGAAGACCGGGAUAACAGCCCGAAAGGGCUGCUAAUACCGGAUGUGGUCAAGGAUCCGCAUGGAUUUUUGAUUAAAGGGGAAACCCGUUUCGAGAUGGGCCCGCGUCCUAUCAGCUAGUUGGUGAGGUAAAAGCUCACCAAGGCGACGACGGGUAGCCGGCCUGAGAGGGUGACCGGCCACACUGGAACUGAGACACGGUCCAGACUCCUACGGGGGGCAGCAGUGGGGAAUCUUCCACAAUGGGCGAAAGCCUGAUGGAGCGACGCCGCGUGAGCGAAGAAGGCCUUCGGUUGUAAGACUCUGUCUGGAGGGACGAAGGAAGUGACGGUACCUCCGGAGGAAGCCACGGCUAACUACGUG
rnacentral:rRNA from 1 species